rnacentral:lncRNA from 1 species
CCACACCCAGUGUCUCCUCUGUUUUUCAUUUUUGUCUCUCUCUUUUGUGGGGGAAGGGAGGUUGAGACAGGGUUUCUCUGUGUAGCCCUGUGAUGGGGGUUGUCCUUCUGUAUGUUUCUCUUAUUGGUUAAUGAAUAAAACACUGUUUGGCCAAUGAGGCAGGAAGAUAGGCGGGACUAGGAGAAGAGGAGAAUUCUGGGAAAGGUAGGCAGAGAGAGUUGCCAUGUAGCAGUCAAAGGAGUUGCAGGUACAGCAUUUCCAGUGUGCUGCCUUAGUUUGGUGGAUUCCGUCUGCACGUGAUCUAUCCUGUCCCCGAACCUGCCUGCGCUCCUCAGGACGUCAGUUGUUAGAAUCAUAUAUGUCGUCGUGGAAGGGUUUCUCUGUGGCUUUGGAGGCUGUCCUGGAACAAGCUCUUGUAGACCAGGCUGGACUUGAACUCACAGAGAUCCGCCUGCCUCUGCCUCCCAAGUGCUGGGACUAAAGUCGUGCGCCACCAACGCCCAGCUUAACAAUCUUGUUUCUAAGUCAAAUAAAAAAAUCUGCAAAAGAAGAAGAAGAAGAAGAAGAAGAAGAAGAAGAAGAAGAAGAAGAAGAAGAAGAAGAAGAAGAAGGUGGUAAAAUCCGGAAGAUCAGGGGUUCAAGACCAGCCUGGACUGCAUGAUACUUGUUCCAAAAAGCCAAAUAAAUAAUUUGUUUUGUAAGAGAGAGUGGGAGAGGGCUGGAGAGAUGGCUCAGCGGUUAAGAACACUGACUGUUCUUUCAAAGGUCCUGAGUUCAAUUCCCAGCAAUCACAUGGAGGCUCACAACCAUCCGUUAUGAGAUCUGGUGCCCUCUUCUGGUGUGCAGACAUACAUGGAAGCAGAAUGUUGUGUACAUAAUAAAUAAAUAAAAUCUUUUAAAAAGAA